GGGGGGCAAGCUCAUCCGGUAGAGCAGACGGCUUUUAACCGUAAGGAUGGAGGGUUCAAAUCCCCCGCCCCCCA
rnacentral:tRNA from 1 species